CCUACGGGAGGCAGCAGUGGGGAAUAUUGGGCAAUGGGCGCAAGCCUGACCCCGCAACGCCGCGUGAAGGAAGAAGGCUUUAGGGUUGUAAACUUCUUUUAUCAGGGACGAAGCAAGUGACGGUACCUGAUGAAUAAGCAAUGGAUAACUACGUGCCAGCAGCCGCGGUAAUACGUAGGUGGCAAGCGUUAUCCGGAUUUACUGGUUGUAAAGGGCGUGUAGGCGGGAGUGCAAUUCAGAUGUGAAAACUAUGGGCUCAACCCAUAGCCUGCAUUUGAACCUGUACUUCUUGAGUGCUGGAGAGGCAAGCGGAAUUCCGUGGUGAGCGGUGAAAUGCGUAGAUAUACGGAGGAACACCAGUGGCGAAGGCGGAUUGCUGGACAGUAACUGACGCUGAGGCGCGAAAGCGUGGGGAGCAAACAGGAUUAGAUACCCCGGUAGUC
rnacentral:rRNA from 1 species